rnacentral:rRNA from 1 species
AGUUUGAUCCUGGCUCAGAUUGAACGCUGGCGGCAUGCCUUACACAUGCAAGUCGAACGGCAGCACGGGGGCAACCCUGGUGGCGAGUGGCUGAACGGGUGAGUAAUACAUCGGAACGUGCCCUAUCGUGGGGGAUAACCAGUCGAAAGAUUGGCUAAUACCGCAUGAGCUCGGAAGAGGAAAGCAGGGGAUCGAAAGACCUUGCGCGAUUGGAGCGGCCGAUGUCCGAUUAGCUAGUAGGUGGGGUAAAGGCCCACCUAGGCGACGAUCGGUAGCUGGUCUGAGAGGAUGAUCAGCCACACUGGGACUGAGACACGGCCCAGACUCCUACGGGAGGCAGCAGUGGGGAAUUUUGGACAAUGGGGGCAACCCUGAUCCAGCCAUGCCGCGUGAGUGAAGAAGGCCUUCGGGUUGUAAAGCUCUUUCGGUGGGAACGAAACGGUGGAUGCUAAUACCAUCCACUCCUGACGGUACCUACAGAAGAAGCACCGGCUAACUACGUGCCAGCAGCCGCGGUAAUACGUAGGGUGCAAGCGUUAAUCGGAAUUACUGGGCGUAAAGCGUGCGCAGGCGGCUUGCUAAGACAGGUGUGAAAGCCCCGGGCUUAACCUGGGAAUUGCGCUUGUGACUGGCCAGGCUGGAGUGUGGCAAAGGGAGGUGGAAUUCCACGUGUCAUAAAUGCGUAAGAUGUGGAGGAACAACCGAAUUGCAAAGGGAGCCUNCCUGGGGGCCAGCACUUGACGCUCCAUUGGCCCAAAAGCCGUGGGGAAGCCAAACCAGGAUUAGAUACCCCUGUUAGUCCACGCCCCUAAAACGAUUGUCAACUGGUUGUUUGGUGGGGUUAAACCCAUUAGUAACGAAGCUAACGCGUGAAGUUGACCGCCUGGGGAGUAUGCCCGCAAGGUUAAAACUCAAAGGAAUUGACGGGGACCCGCACAAGCGGUGGAUGAUGUGGAUUAAUUCGAUGCAACGCGAAGAACCUUACCUACCCUUGACAUGCCAGGAACCCUGCUGAGAGGUGGGGGUGCCCGAAAGGGAGCCUGGACACAGGUGCUGCAUGGCUGUCGUCAGCUCGUGUCGUGAGAUGUUGGGUUAAGUCCCGCAACGAGCGCAACCCUUGUCACUAGUUGCCACCGCAAGGGGCACUCUAGUGAGACUGCCGGUGACAAACCGGAGGAAGGUGGGGAUGACGUCAAGUCCUCAUGGCCCUUAUGGGUAGGGCUUCACACGUCAUACAAUGGCGCAUACAGAGGGCUGCCAACCCGCGAGGGGGAGCCAAUCCCAGAAAGUGCGUCGUAGUCCGGAUUGCAGUCUGCAACUCGACUGCAUGAAGUCGGAAUCGCUAGUAAUCGCGGAUCAGCAAUGUCGCGGUGAAUACGUUCCCGGGUCUUGUACACACCGCCCGUCACACCAUGGGAGUGGGUUUCACCAGAAGCCGGUUGCCUAACCGCAAGGAGGGCGCUGACCACGGUGAGAUUCAUGACUGGGGUGAAGUCGUAACAAGGUAGCCGUACCGGAAGGUGCGGCUGGAUCACCUCCUU